rnacentral:rRNA from 1 species
AUUGAACGCUGGCGGCAGGCCUAACACAUGCAAGUCGAACGAGUGGCGGACGGGUGAGUAAUGUCUGGGAAACUGCCUGAUGGAGGGGGUUACUACUGGAAACGGUUGCCAAUACCCCAUACCAUCAGAUUCGCCCAGAUGGGAUUAGCUUGUUGGUGGGGUAACGGCUCACCAGGGCGACGAUCCCUAGCUGGUCUUAGAGGAUGACCAGCAACACUGGAACUGAGACACGGGCCAGACUCCUACGGGAGGCAGCAGUGGGGAAUAUUGCACAAUGGGCGCAAGCCUGAUGCAGCCAUGCCGAGUGUAUGAAGAAGGCCUUCGGGUUGUAAAGUACUUUCAGCGGGGAGGCGUUACCCGCAGAAGAAGCACCGGCUAACUCCGUGCCAGCAGCCGCGGUAAUUC